CAAUGUCGUAGAGGUUUUCCCACUUCUUGAACCACAUGAUAAACUGAUCGACUCGGAGGAACGUAUCUUUUUCCGAGCGUACAGUGUGGGGUGAGAGACUGGAUGAAGACGCCUUUAAGUUUUGGGGUAGACGGAACUUACGGAAAAGUGAAUAUCCACUAACUCCAUUCAGAACUUAUUAAAAACUAACCACAGAAAAAAUGUAAGGAGUAAGUGGUUCACAGAAUUCUUACAAGUUCGAUAAUGCUGAAAAAGUUAGGCGGGAGGGAACAAAAUGUGGAGUUGCCUUUAGGUUUGCGGCAAGACGGAAUUCUGAAUGGUGGAAAAUCCUGAGCAAGCCUUAUAUGUGUGACAAAAUUAGGAGGAUACCGUAUAUCUUUCUCCAUACAUACAGCCUGGGAUUUGAGACAGGGGCGUGAGUGAAGCCAUCUCUUAAGUUUUAGGCUAAACGGAACUUGGAAAAGGGUGAAUAUAUGUACUAAUUAAACUCAGAACUUAUUAAAAACUUGCCAGAAACUCACGCCAGGCAGCAAUGAAGGCAGGAUGAUUGCAGUGCUCCAUGUGAAACUACUUUAAAAUCUCAGGUUAUACAGAAUCAGAAAAAGGUGGAUAUGUACCGAAUUCCACUCUAAAAUCAUUAACGUCUUGCCACAAACUCAAGCCAGGGUAGCACUAGAUAAGGCAGGAGGGAAAAAUUAAGCCCCAAGUGAGGUCGUUAAAAUCUCAGACUAGACAGAAUCAGAAAAAGAUGAACAUGUACCGAAUUCCACUCUAAAAUCAUUAACGUCUUGCCACAAACUCAAGUCAGGCGGCGCUAGUUAAGGGGGGAGAAAUAAAAGAGUACCCCAUGUCGCUUACCUCACAGGGAGCAACGCAUUUCCACUAGGAGUUAUAUCUUAAAGCACAGGACCUUUGGGGGUGAAUCAAUGCCUCUCGUGUAUUCUUAGGAACUGACCCCAGACAAAGAAACAUUCGCAGCACCCUUGUCCAAAACACUCGCUCUCUUGGGUCAUACCGUAUCUAGCGUUUGUCAUACAUCUCAUUCUCUUCCAGUAUUUUUUUCCGAGGGUCAGGAAAUAGAAAAUAAAUUACACUACUCAGGGCAAGGGUAACAUUGAGGGUUAUUUUAAAAGGAAUCGCUUAUCAAAAUUUCCUCUGAUGGUUCUGUUAAAGGAAGAAAUUAAGCCAGUGAAAACAUAAGCAAAAAUCACAGCUGGAAGUAACAUUGAAGGCCAUCGUAAAAGGAAUCGCAUAUCAAAAUUUCCUCUGAUGGUUCUAUUAAAGGAAGAAAUUAACCCAGUGAAAACGUAAGCAAAAAUCACAGCUGGAAGUAACAUUGAAAGCCAUCGUAAAAGGAAUCGCUUAUCAAAAUUUACCCUCACAGUGCUAUUAAAAGAAAAAAAAUCAAUCUCGGUUAAGCAAAAAUUCACAGUUAUAUAAGUUACCCUAUACUGAAUGGUUUAAAAGAAAUCUGUAUCAUAAUUCCCUCUGCGCUAUUGAAGGAAAAAUAAUAAAUCUCGGUAAACGUAUAAGCAUAAAUUCUCGGAUACAAGUUACCCGAACGCUUUAAAAUGAACCGCUACAAAAACACUACAUCACGUACAGUCGCUCUUCGCCUCACAAUGGACUGAUAGGCACAAAAACCCGCAGGAAUUUUAUCGGUCGGGGGUCGGACUCUAGGGUAUAAACUCUUCAAUUAUAAACGACGUAACGUAACUCUUCUGCAACAACAACAACAACGAGGAGGACGAGAAGUUUAAAGUCACUGUUCUUCUAAAAUCUUUUACGUAACAAAAAAUUUUCCGUGAUUUUGUUCUCUUUUCUUGCUUCCGACAGAUGCUUAUGUGCUUUCUAUGGGGUGUUUCUUCAUGCGUUUAUACUUCGACGUGGAAUCUAUUGCAUACUUUCUCACACACACACACACACACACACACACACACACACACACACACACACACGCACAAACAGAUACAAACACGUCUUCAUACAAGAGCGUUCCACAGUUUUUCGCAGCAUUCCUUUCUUAUAAUCGAAUUCUGAUGCAUUCAACGUUUAAUUCCUUCGUUUGUUUAUACUUUGACGGACGUAGAAUCUAUUACGUCACCAAACAAACAAACACACACACACACAUACGUAUACAUAAUUUUCAAACAUCUUUUACGCUAAACGAGAAUGCCUUUUUUAUUACUAUUAUUAUCAUUAUUAUUAUCAUUAUUAUUACGUUUCUAAACACAGUCAAUGAUGAACGGAUUUCGUAUGCCAGGAUUACGCUUGGAUAAGUUUGGACGCGAUUUACGUUUCAUGUUAAGCCUAAUUAUGCAAGCAAUGACACACACACACGCACACAGGACCCUAAAUCAAACCCGCACACACACACACACACGCACAUACGACCCUAAAUCGAACCUGCAAACACACACACACACACACACACACACACACACACAAACGCAUGCAGAAAAUAGUCGCCCUAACCCAUGCCUGUUGAUCGGUAACAUUAAUCGCUUUUUUUUAGCCUUCGGAGUUUAGCUACGACACGAGACGAUAAAAAAAUCAGAGUAAAGCUUUGAGUGUUGGUACGUAACUGGCAUUCUAUUUACAGGAAUAUUUACAGCUGAUUUGCGUAGCGGUUCACAUGAGUUGACGCACUUCUCGAUCGAUUAUAUAGCCUCAUGUUAAACCCACACUAUACAUACAUGGUUUCUAGUCAUCUUUGGGUGUGUUUUCUCCUGGGUUUCAGUUCUUGUAAGUGCAAACCCACCUCAAUAUCCAUAAUUCACGCUUCACAUAUAUCUACGCAUUUCUUGACCUAAUGUAUUCUCAUGUUGAACCCACACUAUACAUACAUGGUUUCUAGUCAUCUUUGGGUGUGUUUUCUCCUGGGUUUCAGUUCUCGUAAGUGCAAACCCACCACAAUAUCCAUAACUCACGCUUCACAUUCGUCUACGAACUUCUCGACUGAAUAUUGCGUAAUCUCAAGUUGAACCCACACUAUACAUGGUUUCAAGUGAACUUUGGGUGGUUUUUCUCCUCGAUUUCAGGGGUUUCAGUUCUCGUAAGUUCACACCCACCUCAAUAUCCGCAGUUCACACAUACAUCUACGAACUUCUCGACUGAAUAUUACGUUGUCUCAUGUUGAACCCACAAUAUACAUGGUUUUUAGUUAUCCUUGGGUGUGUUUUCUAUUCAAUUUCUAGGGUGCCAGUUCUCGUAAGCGCACAUCCACUCUAAUAUCCACGUUUUUUUAGUUAUUUUUCGGUGUUUUCUCCUCGAUUUCAAAGGUUUCAGUUCUCGUAAGCGCAUACCCAUCCCAAUAUCCACAGUCUCUCUCAGAAAACCACCAUGAUAUAUAGGGUCUCAAUUUCCUAUGCUCACACCCACCCCAAAAGUACAGGGUUUCACAGUUCUCUAUCCAUGUUCUCAUCCCAUACGAAGGCAGGGGUUGCAUAGGUUUCUACACCAUUACGCAACCAAAUAUUCAAGUUGUUAGUUUUCUAUGAGUGAACCCAUGACAACAUACAGGUUCUCUAUCCAUGUUCUCAUCCCAUACGUAGGCAGGGGUUGCAUAGUUUCUACACCAUUACGCACCCAAAUAUUCAAGUUGUUAGUUUUCUACGAGUGCCCCAUGACAAUAUACAGGGUUUCACAGUUCUCUAUCCAUGUUCUCAUCCCAUACGUAGGCAGGGGUUGCAUAGUUUCUACACCAUUACGCAACCAAAUAUGCAAGUUGUUAGUUUUCUACAAGUAACCCAUGACAAUAUGCAGGGUUCUCUUAAUUCUGUAUGCUUGUUUUCCAGUAUUCACGGUUUCAGUUCUCUACGGUUCUCUACGGCCCACCUCCACCUCUUAUAGUACUGUACAAGGAGGUUUAAACAGCAGCGGCAGUAGCAAAAGACAGCAGGACACAGCAGUCACCUCAAACUCACAUCGUCAUAACUGUUUGCUUUAGACAUCAAACAGAUUUGACCGAGGGACUUGGCUAACGAAAACACACACACACACACACACACGAAUACUGCUUUACCAAACGAAACUAUGUGUGUCAAACGUACUAUACACAAGUUUGUAGGAAUUCUAGACGGUAAAAAAGUGGUAAAAUACAGGAUAUACGUACAUGACUCCAUCCUGCGUAAAUACAAAUAGGUACACACACACACACACACACACACACACACACACGCCUGCUGCCGUUUGGUGGUCGGUGGGUCACAUUAGGCUAAAGCUACGCCCUCUAAUGCCUCUACGUUCAGCAUCGGCCCUGAAUACGGAGAUUUGCAAAUAUAUGCCGUGAAGGUCGAGACUCGUCGCUGUAAGGAAAAUCUUUUGUCUACGAUCUGACUAGGGUAUUACGUCGCUUAUUAUUGUUCCUUUAUUGAGCCUCGGUGUGUGUGUGUGUGUGUGUGUGUGUGUGUGUGUGUGUGUGUGUGUGUGUGUGUGUGUGUGUGUGUGUGUGUGUGUGUGUGUGUGUGUGUGUGUCCGGUAGCUCAGUGAUUAGAGCGUCUGCCUCACAACCAGAAGGACAGGGGUUCGAUUCCCCGGCCGGGUGAAGAUAAGUUGGGUUUAUCUUCUUUCACGUGUAGCCCGUGUUCACCCAGCAGUUAAUAGGUACGCGACGUCAGGUGAGGAGUUGUGACCUCGUUGUCGCGGUGUGUCGUGUGUGAGUGGUCUCAGUCGUACCCAAAGAUCGGUCACUGAGGAGAGACCCGCAGCAGACCAGGAGGUGAAUCACACACACACACUCACUAACACAGGCUCAUCCCACUACACUCCUCUCGCACCUAUCGUAUAAUAUUGUCGUCGUCACCAUCAGGCAUCAUUAUUGUCAUCGGUAAUCGCUCACAGUCAUCGCGGGUUAGUUUGGCAAAAAAAAAAUAAAUAAA